CUAGCUUCUGCACCUCAACCAAUAAGUGCUCUUCACACUUAAACACGCCCCCCUCCUGCUAUCACAUACACUUUAGGAAGUGGUAGAACUGUGUGAAGAUUCUCUGUAGCUUGGACAAAGAAAACUAAUGGUUGAUGUUCCAAUCAAGAUGUCCGAAAGGUUCGAAGUUUCGUUAAUUGAGGUUCCAGUUGAGAUGUCCGGACUGUGCACAGUGUCAUGAGACGGCGAAUCCGAACCUCUGUUCCAGUUCUCAGUUCUAGUUCGGGAGACCUGAAGCCUGUUCGUCAGUUGUGGGCGUCCAUCAGUUUGCAGUUUGUGGACCACCAAAGAAAGAGGACUGCUCCAGUGUGACCAGGGGUUAUAUGGACACUGGGAGUGACAGGGUGGGGCUAGUUGCUAUAGUUACUGCAUGUUUAAAGGUUUUUUCUUUGCUGCUAUGGAAACUCAGUAAAGAGAGAGACAGCAA